UACGUAGGGCGCAAGCGUUGUCCGGAAUUAUUGGGCGUAAAGAGCUCGUAGGCGGCUUGUCACGUCGGGUGUGAAAGCCCGGGGCUUAACCCCGGGUCUGCAUUCGAUACGGGCAGGCUAGAGUGUGGUAGGGGAGAUCGGAAUUCCUGGUGUAGCGGUGAAAUGCGCAGAUAUCAGGAGGAACACCGGUGGCGAAGGCGGGUCUCUGGGCCGUAACUGACGCUGAGGAGCGAAAGCGUGGGGAGCAAACAGG
rnacentral:rRNA from 1 species